GCCACAAGUUUCUAAUUUUAUUUUAACAACCUUGCUUUUUAAAAAAUACAAGUUCUGAUUAAUGCCAGGGGGAUGCCAAGUGUCCAUCAGCUACAGGCCUUAUCUCUCACUUCCGUUUCCCCUCCUGGGAGUAGUCAUCUCUUUUGUCAGGAUAACAAACAAAGAGCAGUAAAAUGCUAAAUAACUGAGUUGUUUAACAGAAUCCCAAGGGACCUGUGUCUUAGUAUGGCACAAAUUCGUUCAGCAAAGUGUUACUGACCUGGACCAGUAAUUUAAUGUUGGCACAAUGUACAUGAGUUGUGCAAGGUGCAUGGGGAGAGGUACUGUUUGCACUUUCGUGGUACCACCAUCUCUCUUCUGCAAACAGAAAGGUUUAAGUGGAAGCAAGAGCUCAAUUACCAAAGAUAAGGGAAUUCAAGAGGAGGAGCAGGUUUAUAAACAAUGAAGAUCUUUAAAUGUUUUUUUCAUAGUAAGUAAUUGCAGGAGCAGCAGCGCUGCCCUUUUAGUUGCAAGGGGGUUUCUGUAUGGCCAACUACAAGAGCUUUACACUCUCCAGACAGCACAUUUCCUAACAACCUAGAAACCAUGGCACCACAAAGAACAGCUUUUUCUACAAAGGAAUUCUAUGCAACACAAGUGUCAAUUUGCAAGGUCUCGUGUGUCCCAAGCAACCUUUUCAUCCAUGGAAAAAUCUGAACUGUGAGUUCACUGCCAAUAGGUUAAAUAUGCCAUGGCCGCAUGAAUUUCAAAUAUGCCAUUUUUCUCAAUAAUAUCCUAACUGGAAAAAGGCACUCACAUUUGAACCAGCAACAUUGUUAUGGGCUAUGAAAGGGUACUGAAGUAAGACUCAUUAAUAAUUGUGCUGUGAUUAUUUUGAUGUCUCAGCUAUGCUCAUGCUUCAGUGUAUUAGGGAUUAGCACUUUAGUGCUAUUGGGAACUUGGCCAUAGGAGUAGCCAAACAUAGUUGGCGAUGAAAAGCCUUUUUUUUUCUUCAGCUUGUUUUUGGCAAAGUUGGUUGGGGAUUUUUUUUUUUUUUCCUUCAGCUGUUUGACUGAAUAAUAGAGUAGUCCUAGGUUCAGGUAUCACCUUAUUCUCUCUUGAAUAAUUAUUUCUGAGCUUCUACUACCUAUUUAAUGCUGAAAAAGGAAGGUGCAAGGAAACAAGUAUCUGUACAAGCAUAAUAUGCCUGUAAUUACACCUCCUUUGGCCAGGAACUUAGCAUCCCCUCAACACAUUUCACAUCACAUAGGAAAAUUUCACAGUACCAAGUUUUACAAUCACAGUCACUCACAGCACCAAGAUUGUCCAGACAAGAAGAAGUUACCGAAGAGAAAGGCCACUGGCCAAAAUUCACACAACUGCCCGUGUAAGGGCUCAGGUUAAAAAUAAAGCACUGGUGGGAAAGUUAAGCCUAGCUUUUGCCAACUCUCCGUUUGGCACGAGGAGAGCACUAGGGGAGGAGACCCCCAUGGCAGCCCCACUUCUGCCUCUGGGAGCUGGAAGUCACCAGACUGUAAACAUUUUGUUGUAGCAGUCCACCGGAGCAGGCAGUUGAUCCCACUCUGUGACAAGGGAGCUGGGACAGAGGCUCUGAAGCCCAGGUCCUGAAGGAAAGAAUGAAUGUGUGUGUGGAAGAAGUCUGGGCUGCACGUGCAGUCCUGCUGUGGGUAGCAGUUGGCUGUGCUUUAUUUCCCCUUCCCAUCAGGACAGCUUAAAAAAAAAGAAAAAGAAACUUGCAACAGGAAACUGUUGUUUUUCACAAUUAUUGCAGCCUUGCCCAGAUAACAAAAUAUAAACCUGGGAGGGGCAAAGUCCUUCCUCCAAAGGACUUUGGUCGGCGUGCUCCUCCUUCCAUGGGGCUGGUUUCAGGAGCAGCGGCAGCCAUGCAGAAGAUCAGGCCUUAACCCCACCCAACAUUCAUGGAGCUUAAAACCAAAAAAACUGUGUUCCUAUGAGAGGUUACUAACAAUUUUUCCCCACCUACCCUAAACCACAUGCACACAGAGGACAGGAUGCUUUCACCAAAGCUCGAGAGCCCCUCUGCCUCAAGGGCUCUUGCAGCACUUUGCUUUCUGUGCUGAAAUGUGAGGUUCACUGAGCAUGGAGCCCGCCCCGAGCAGUGCCAGCGUCCUCUGCUCUGCUCUUGGAGAGGGGACACUUUGCAGGCUUAGCCCCAUCUCUGCUCUCUCAAGCAGGCAUGGAAGGGGGCCGGAGGAAACUUUCCAGCCUUUCUGGCUGUGUAAAGGAAGACCCUACGCUCCGUGUAAAAGAAAAACCAACGCUGAUCCCAUAAACAUGCAUAUUCACAGAGAAAUGAGAGCCCCAGCGCCUGGGGAUGCCAGCAGGAGGCUGCUGUAAACCCUGUUCUCACCAGAAAUAAAUGUCUUGGUGGUUAUGAAAUGGGGCCUAAGCCCUGGCUUAUGUCCAUGCUGGACUGGUUUCUUUAGCAUGUGAAGUCAAUGUAAGAUGCAAAAGGU
rnacentral:lncRNA from 1 species